rnacentral:rRNA from 1 species
AGUUUUUUGUAAAUAUAAAAGAUGAAUUCUGCUCAAUGAGCAUUAAAUAGCCAUAGUAUUUAUGACUAUGCAAAGGUAGCAUAAUAAUUUGUCCUAUAAAUUAGGACUGGAAUGAAUGGAAUUAUGGGGUGGGGCUUUCUUAAAUUAAUUAUUAAAAAUAAUUUUUUUAGUGAAGAAACUAAAAUAUUAAUGAGGGACGAGAAGACCCUAUUAAGCUUAAUAUAAUUAUAUUUUGUUGGGGAAACAAAAGAAAGAAACUUCUUUUAAAAAAUUUUUUGAUAAUUUAAGAUUAAUUAUUAAUUAUGAUAGAAUAAGUUACUAUAGGGAUAACAGCAUAAUUUUUUUUAAAAGUUCUUAUUAUCAAAGAAGAUUAUGACCUCGAUGUUGGAUUAAAAAUAUUAUAUGAUGAAGUUGUUUAUAAAUUAGUC